UAGCCGUAAACGAUACUCGCUAGGUGUCGGCCACGGUGCGACCGUUGUCGGUGCCGUAGGGAAGCCGUGAAGCGAGCCACCUGGGAAGUACGGCCGCAAGGCUGAAACUUAAAGGAAUUGGCGGGGGAGCACAACAACGGGUGGAGCUUGCGGUUUAAUUGGAUUCAACGCCGGAAAUCUUUACCGGGACCGACAGCAACAUGAAGGCCAGGCUGAAGACUUUGCCGGAUUAGCUGAGAGGAGGUGCAUGGCGUAGUCGUGU
rnacentral:rRNA from 1 species